rnacentral:rRNA from 1 species
AUGGCGUCGUUGUCCUCGCCGUGGGUUGAAUGGACCGGGGAGUACACGAAGGCGGCGCAAGCGGAGGCGCUCCCGCCGAAUGAGUGGGCGGCGCGGGUGGCCACAGCGGCGGCAGCCGCGGGGGAAAGAGGGGACGUACAGUUUUCGGCGGGGCUGGCCGAAAUGCUGGCGCGCGUGCUCCUCUCUGGGGAAAGCAGCGGCGCCGCCCCCGCCGCGGCGUGGAAGUACGCCGAGGCUGCCCUCGCCGCGCGCCUCGCGUCACCGGCGCUCCUCCUCACGCUCCUCUCCUCAAGGGUCAUUCCUCAACGGGUGGCAAGGCCAACAGCGUAUCGACUUUAUUUGGAGCUCUUGCGGAGACAUGGAUUCAAAUUAUGUUUUCAGAUGAAAGCGGCAAAUUCCAACAAGUAA